GGACCUUGUAGAAAACUAUAUGACUCUGUGCUUAUACAAGAAUACAAUAAAAUUAUAACAUAUAUUAUUUUAAUCUUAGAAAAAAACUGCAGAACAACAAAGAAUAGUUUCCUUUGUAUUAAAAAAAGAAUAUUGUCUCUUUUUUUUGGAUUACAUUAGAAUAUUUAACCAAAUGGAGCUUGUGUUGAGUGCUACAUCCUUCCCAAAGAGAAAUUCUCCUUAUUUAGUCCAGCUGCUUUAAAACCCUUGUAGGUAGUAGGGAAAAGGGGCAUGAAGAAAGUUGGGAUGCUGGCCAAGAUGCUGUUAAUUAGUGUCAACCUGCCACGGGGAGAUGUUAUUUCAGCUACAUAUGGAGAGAGAUAUUGUCCUUUUUCUUCACUAUCCAAGUCUUGUCCUCAAACUUCAAAUCUUCUGACCAGCAUGAAGAUUCUUCUAUCUGAAUGGUCGUGGAGAAAGAAAUGUUUGCCCGAGCUGAAAGAUAAAAAAUGUUGAGUUAUUAGUCCAGGACAUGGUGCUUUCGGGAUACUGUUACACUGUCUGCAUAAUAGAGGUGUUUGAUAACUUGAGAGUUCAAUGUUGGUAGUUAGCAAAGUAUAGUAUUGCGACUAAUUUUUUUUUUUAAGUUCUGGAGAACAUCCAAUUGAAAAAACAAUUCUUUUCCAAAAGUUUUAAGGUGAAACAGUCGUCCAUAGAUUCGUUGUUUUUCAAAAGUACUUGGAAGGGUUAAGAAAGCUUACACAUUGCUUGUGCUGUUUGGAGUGUACAUGCAUAUGUCGUUAUGUUUCUUCUCCUGCAAACUUCAAAUGUUAGUAUGUCUUUUGUCUUCUGUUUUUUUUUAAAAUUUCUGUUGAGAGAGUUUUACCUCUUCAACUGCUUCAACCAGGGCUCUGAUCAGGAUUUUAUCUUCAUCUCUAAUAGUCCACUACAAACAAAGUUUGAAAGAAGUUGUCAGAUUCAGAAUAAGUCAAUAUUACUCAAAGCGUAAAAAGCAGAUACUUACGGAUUCUUCCGCCCCCUCCAUGUCUUCUUCAAAAAUCUUCUGGAACUCAGUCCAUUUAAGUUUUAUUAGCUUAUCCUGCUGGGGGCUAAUAAGAGGAAUUGCUGUUUGAGUUAGAGCAAAGAAGGAACCAAAAAAUUCUAAAGAAAUAAAGCAGAAACGUGUAACAAGAGGAAGAAGAAACCGGUCUUAGAUGGAGUAUGUGUAAAGUUUGGGUCUGUUUUGGCUGUUGGGGUCUGUCUUGGUUGUUUUACAGACCUCUAAAUGGAAAAUCUUAUCAGUGGUAGUCUAAAUGCGGGAAAAGAUGACUAAAUAGGUUGAUGAAGAGGCGGGGCGGCUCUUCAUGAAUGUGAAUGGCAGGUAUGCAUGAAAGCAGAACUAUAUAUAUAGCAUGUGUAAACAACCUAUCUAUCACAUUUGCCCU